rnacentral:rRNA from 1 species
UACGUAGGGUGCGAGCGUUGUCCGGAAUUAUUGGGCGUAAAGAGCUCGUAGGCGGUUUGUCGCGUCUGCUGUGAAAACCCGAGGCUCAACCUCGGCCUGCAGUGGGUACGGGCAGACUAGAGUGCGGUAGGGGAGAUUGGAAUUCCUGGUGUAGCGGUGGAAUGCGCAGAUAUCAGGAGGAACACCGGUGGCGAAGGCGGGGUCUCUGGG